GGGUUCAAAUUCGAGAUCUGGGAGAUAAAAGCAGGGGAUAGGGGGAACUAUGACCAUUUGAUGACUGGGAUUGAUCGGUGUAUUAAUGAGGAGGACAAUCGGAAGCUUACAACAACAUACACAAAAAAGGAGAUUCAAGAAGCAGUGUUUGCCAUGGGACCCAUAAAGGCACCAGGAGAAGAUGGAUUCCCAAGUCUUUUUUAUCAGAAAUGCUAGCAUAUUGUUGGAGAGGAUGUCACCUCCUUUUGCUUACAACUCCUUAAUGGGGACAUGGACGUGAGCUCUUUUAAUUCUACUAAUAUAAUGCUUAUUCCAAAAGUUUCCAAUAAUAUGACGCAAUUUAGGCCGAUUAGUCUAUGUAAUGUACUUUACAAAAUUCUAGCGAAGGUAAUUGCAAAUCAACUUAGAGGGGUUAUUAAGAAAUGUAUUGAUGGUGCGCAGAGUGCCUUUGUGCCAAGAUGCUUAAUUUCAGAUAAUGUCUUAUUGGCCUAUGAAAUAUUGCAUAUGCUAAAACACAAGAGAUUGGGGAAGAAGGGCUUUAUGACAGUUAAACUCGACAUGAGUAAAGCAUAUGAUAGGGUUGAAUGGAAUUUCAUAAAGGAGAUAAUGCUACGAAUGGGAUUUGACCAAAAA